AGUAACACGUGGGAACGUGCCCUUUGGUUCGGAACAACUCAGGGAAACUUGAGCUAAUACCGAAUGUGCCCCCAUCCUUAAGCAAGAUGGGUGGGAAAGAUUUAUCGCCAUUGGAGCGGCCCGCGUCUGAUUAGCUAGUUGGUGGGGUAAAGGCUCACCAAGGCGACGAUCAGUAGCUGGUCUGAGAGGAUGAUCAGCCACACUGGGACUGAGACACGGCCCAG
rnacentral:rRNA from 1 species